rnacentral:rRNA from 1 species
CAGUAGCCGCGGUAAUACGGAGGGGGCUAGCGUUGUUCGGAAUUACUGGGCGUAAAGCGCACGUAGGCGGCUUUGUAAGUUAGAGGUGAAAGCCCAGGGCUCAACCCUGGAAUUGCCUUUAAGACUGCCGAGCUAGUAGGUGAGAGAGGUAAGUGGAAUUCCGAGUGUAGAGGUGAAAUUCGUAGAUAUUCGGAAGAACACCAGUGGCGAAGGCGGCUUACUGGCUCAUUCUAGACGCUGAGGUGCGAAAGCGUGGGGAGCAAACAGGAUUAGAUACCCGUGUAGUCCCUGUCUCUUAUAA